UAAUUUAACCCUAGCUUGAGUGGCUCUUUGUUCUUCUUCGUCUGUUUGUUCUUCUUCUUUGAAUUUGGUUUACACAAAUCACUUUGGUUUUUGAUUUCUCACAUAUAUAGUAUCAGAGCCAUUGAAUCACAUUCGUCGCUGAUUUGUAUCAUCAACAUCUUCUUCUUCUCCCGCCAUUGUUGACGCCCUUCACUGUCUGACGUCGCCGCUCCUUAGAGCCGCCGUCGACCGUCACCGCCGUUGUUGCUGCCGUUUACGGCCGGCUUCGCCGCCACCAUCAAACGCCGGGCCGCUUGUGUGCUUUCUCUGUUCGGUUCUCUACUCCCUCUCGAUUUGAACUCAUCUUUGGGACUCUCAGACCUCAGAUACGAUUCUGCCUCUCCUGCCUCGUCUUCUUCUGCUUCGAAUCACCUUCGUCGAUUGCCCUCCCGUCCGACCGCCACUGCCGCAAGCGCCACCAUCUUCAACCGCCGUUCAUCUUCCUCCUACGGCAGAUCGUCCGACCGCCUCUUUCCCCCUCGCCGGCCACUUUGGUCUCUUGCUCGACCGUCGCCGUUCGCCCCUUCGCCGUCUUCUUCUUCGCCUUGCCGGCUGUUGUUGCAAGCUUCCUUCCUCCUCCGUUGCUUCUGCCAUCAACAGCCAUUGAAGAAGUUUAAGAAGCUUCGAAGUUUCAAACCCAGAUCUGGCCGAUCCGACCCGUCAAAUCUGCCAAACAGAUCUAGUUUAUUUUUUGUCCAGAUUUGAUCCAAAUUCAGUACCGUCUGAGUCGCUCUCAAUUGGAAUUUUGUUUAUUGGUCUUUUGGCAUUAUUUUAUCUUCGUAUUGAAAUUAUUUGGAUUCAAUGCGCUGUGUGAAUUAGUUUACUUGUGGUUUGAGGCAAAGUAUUGGUUGUUUGUGUGUUAUUGACAACUGAAAGAGAUAAUUCAAUUCAAUCCAUUACUGUAAGGUUAAAUGGAAAAAAUUAUUGGAUAAUACUAUUCGGCCCGAAAUGGUGCCCGAAAAAGUGCCACCCAAGAUGGAAUUACCAUUUUACCCAUAGUUCAAUUUAUAGAAAUGACCCCAUUUCAACCUUCCUUAUCCGGCUAAAUCUCUCACUCUCUUCUCAUUCUCUUCUUUCUCUCUCUCACAGCCUCAUUUCUCUCUCUCUCUCAUAUUCUCUGCCUGACUCAUGCUCCCCUUAGAAGAGGCUUGUUCCUCUCUUUCUCUUGUUAAGGCCAUCUCUCUAUUUCUCAUGUGCGUCCGACCGAGCCCACCGAUCUCCUUUGGGCUCGUUCCAGCCAUCUCUCACUCUCCAGCCCCUGCUACAGUGUCUCCAGCAUCCCUUGGCUCGAUUCUUGUUCGAUCUACAAUGAGAUAUGUCUCUAGUUUUACAAAAAAUGAUUUUCAACAAAGGCUCUGAUCGUGGGAAGUUUCGGCCGGCAGUAAUCGUCGGAGGCGUUGGUAGUGGCGGUUACAUAUAUACAGGUACAACGAAGCUUGCACGUGCCCCCACGCCUCGCCAGAAGAAUCCCCACGCGCCCGCAUGCGUUGAUUGUCUUCCUUGGUCGCGUCUAACAAGAUGACGGCCAGCCCUAUGUUUUUUGCAUUUUUUUUACUCAUUUUAACUCCAUUUUGCUCCUUGUUUGAACCUACAACUCCCUCUUUCUCUUCUCUACAGGAUUAUAACUUAAAAUUUAACUUACUGUGCUGUUUCAGGUGACCCACGCUCAGUUUUCUACGCGUGUUCUUGCAACUUCGGUAACCCGUUUUCUUCCUUAUUUUCUGGUGAAAACACUUAUUCUUUCUUUCAGAAUGUCCCUCACACUUCUAAGAACAUGGUUAUCCCCUCAAAACAGCAUGGGUUUGCCUUAAUCCCUUACGUUUCCUUCAUCCUUAUCCCAAAGUCCAAAUUUAUAGAAGAAAUGGGCCAAUCUCCUUCCACCACACUUUCCGCCUCAUGCCUAGGCUUGAGGGUUCAUGAUGGCCAUUUCCAGCCGACAGUUGGUCCGUUUGGUUACUCCGGCGAGUUUUGUUGAAGGUUUUCAAUAAUUACGCUUUGGCCUAAAGUUUGAUAUUUUUAUGCUUUAACCCCUGAAAUUUUUGAUAUUUUAACCAUCUGUGUAGCUUCUUAUUUUAACCCCUGAUUUCCUAAAAGAUGUUCAUUUCAUCAUUUAGCGUCUCCUAAAAUGUUUUUCUAAUAUUUUGAGAAAUUACAUUUUUACCUGAUUUUUCUUAGAAUAGGGGUUUUAGUCUCGGACUCUUGCGAGUUCUUUGGACAUUUCUUAUUUAUUAAAUUACCGGAGCUUACAAAUGUCUUGGGUAUUACAUUAUCUCUGUUGGUCAGUUAUGUGAUUCUGGUUACUUGGUUCAAUUUUCUUCUACUGCUUACUGUGUACAGGAUCCUCGAUCUCAGAAGCUGAUUGGGAUAAGUCUUAGAUAAUGAGGGCUAUAUGUUUUGGACAAUCUGAGACCACCGCAUGUUGCAGCCUUUGGUGUUGAUUUGUCAUCUUUCUCUUUGAAUUCCUCUUCUUCUAGUGUUUAUUUGUGACAUUCUCGCCUUGGACAUGUUUUCGCUAAUUGGUUAAAAUUUUUAGUUUCUAAGGGUUAUCUGGGCGAUUUGCAAACUCAUGACAUUUCUAAUUAUAGUG